rnacentral:lncRNA from 13 species
GGGACUCACUCCCCUCACGGGCGGGACUCCCCUCACGGGCGGGACUCACUCCCCUCACGGGCGGGACUCACUCCCCUCACGGGCGGCAGGCACCGGAGCACGGCUGCGGGGGCGCGGCUGCCGCGGCGGCGGCGCUCCGGCGGGGAGGCGUGUCCCGGGAGCGCGGCGGGCGGGGCGCUGAGGGGAGCGGUGUGCUCGGCCGCGCAGGUGCGGGUGCUCUGCCGCCCGGCUCGCACGGGUGCCUCUCUCGGUAGUUGGACAUACAUGUAUGAAUAUAUGCCUAUGUGUACAUGUAUAUAUAUAUAUAUAUAUAUGGUGCUUCUGAGGGAGGAUUGGUUUGUUUCCGUUAAGGGUCCUCUGGUUUGGUCAUAUCCCGGAAAGCUUGGGAUGCUCUCGGGAAUGCACCAGCGUCGCUCCAGCAGUGCCCGCAGUGUGGGGACUUCGAGUAAGGUGUUCAGUUGAAUUUCACGCACAGGAAUGUGAGAGGCCUGUAGAGGUUUCUAACUGGAGUUUGUCAAUGCCGAGACAGCUGAGGAUUGCUGGUUCCUGUAUCAACACAUUGGUGAGGAACGUGGAUUUUCUCUGCUCUUCAAACUGAUCUGCAGCAUGCUGCAGGAGACAUCCAGGAUGAACUUCUGUCUGUUCCAGCAGUUUUUACCAGUAGCACCAGAGUACAACUCGACUGUUGCUGAAAGCAGUGGAUUAGUACUUGCUGUCUCUCCUACAAAUCCAAAGAGAACAUAUGGGUUAUCAGGAAAUGGAUGCAUCAGUACCCUCCAGAGGCAGAGUUCAGUUGGGGAAAACUCUGAGAUAUGGAGAACAGGUAUCAAUGAACAUAAACAAUAUUGCUGUGAAAAGAGGGAGUUGGGACUACUCAAGGCUCACGUGAAUUCCUACAGUAAGUACAGCUUGAAGGUUAAAGGGGCUCCUUUGGGCAGAAAAGUCUUUGAAUAGUGUAUUUUUAAACAAAGUCAUUUUCAUAAGUGUUGAAUCUGAAUCUCAAAGCCAACUUGAUCUGUGUAAAAUUCAGCCAGAGGAUAUCCUAGUAAGUUCAAAGUGAGGCUUAAUGGAAUUGCACCUUGAUGCAGAAACCCUUGGUAUUUUUGUGGCCAACAGUAUUUUAGGAGCAAUAUGGCAUUUAGAUAAAAUCAUUAGGAAGGAAAUGAACAGUGUGAAUUGUGAAGUUCUUUAUUUGGCAAUACUGAAAAGCAGAUGUGAAACACAUGGCUGAG